CUGUGUCCUCCAAUAACUGAGGGCUUGCAGAACCACACUUGGCCACGAGAGGGAGCUCAUCGUUUAGCAUAGAAGGGGAGUCCACCCAGACUGCUGAAGAAGAGAUAGAUCACGUGUAACAGAAGAAAAGAAAAACUGAAAGAAACACAAAGUCAGUGUUUUUCCAAGUUGCCUGAUAAGAAUCUCCUGGGGAUUGAGUCAUCUUCUGUAGACAAGGGUCCAGAGGGGAACCUUUCUGAGAACAGGAAUGCAGUGUUUCUUGAGUGGGACUGCUUCUCUGAACACCCCCGAAGAGGUUAAAAGGCUUCGGGUGCUGGAAAAAAUGAGGCUCUGGGUCCAAAGGCAGUGAGUAAGAUGGUGAUGGUAAUGGUGAGUCAUGAUGAAGGUAGAAC
rnacentral:lncRNA from 1 species